ACCCUAUAUAAACCCAUUUUAGAACCCUAAAACCAAUUCCCUUCUGCCAUUUGAAGAUUUGCGCCGCAGCACCUCUUCCACCUUUUCGAACCCAUUUCCUACCAGCCAUAACGACGACGACGGCGUCAUGACGGCGCGCUACCACCGGUUCCACUAGCGAGAGGUCGUGUGCAGAAGCUGCUGAACGUGGGCAGUGGAACGGUUGCUGCGACAAAGGCGGCUGCUGCUAACUGCUUAGGGUUCUGCUGUUGAAGAUUGUUAGGGCUAGGUAUUGGGCCAAUGUUGAACUAUUGUAUUUUGGGCCAUUUUUUGGGUUUAAAAAUAUUUGGGCUGAGUGUUGUAUUUGCGUUUGUAUUAAGUUUGGGCCCUGGGCAAUAAUUGGGUAUUACAAGUAUUUUAUUAAAUGUUCCCAAUAAUUUAUUGUGAAAUUUUUUAUUUAAAAAGUAAAAAAUUUUAGAAUUUAAUGACUUAA